GCUCCUGCAUCCGAAAGUGAUCAUAGGCUGCCUGUGCCUAGGUCAUUGAUAGUGCAGGGAGAGGAACGCUGAAAGAGGUUGUCCCCGUGUUUGGAGGGUCCACCCUAUCCCAUCCGAACCCUGAAGCUUUCACACAACUCCUGUUGCUCUCCUGCCAGCCCUUGAGGAGUCCGGCGCUUGCUUGGCUGCCACAUGAAAGAUUGUCAGCUGACCUCUGUCCUGUGUGCCCAGUGGCCCCAGGUGACGUGUCUUCAAGAAGAGGCUGAGCUGCGGUGCUUGUAAGGGUCUCAUUCUGUCACCCAGGCUGGAGUGCAGUGGUGCAAUGAUGGCUCACUGCAGCCUCGACCUGGGCUCAAGUGAUCCUCCACCUCAGCUUCCUGAGUAGCUGGGACCACAGAGUCAUGUGCUGUUCCUGGGGCUUGGAUGAUGUAGGGGAAGCAAGGUGAAAGUGGUAUCCCGUGGUUCCACGUUCUGUCCUGCUGUGGGGCUGUCCCUCACAUGCUUUCAGUGGCUGUUGCAGAGGAAGAGCCUCCGGAAAUCUGCGUGGGUCUCAGCCUUAGAUCCAAGGACAGUCCAAGGAAGUCCUAAGACCAUGGAGUUGGUGAUCUGGGAUCUGGGUUUGCUGAUAUUUCUCACCGUGAAUCUCUUGGUGGUGUUUGUGGGCACGAGAGGGGCAGAGAAUGGAGAGUGAGGCUACCACAUGAAGCGUCACCAGAGCUGCUCCCUGCUGCCUGCUCAGAGCACCCCGGAUCCACUGUUCAAUCUGCACAAGAUUCGGGGUCCAGACAUGGGAGACUUCAGCUGCCUCAGAGGACCGUGGACAGGGAAGGCCAGCCUCGCAUCCCUCUGUCCAUGCCUGGAAUGACUUUAAUAACCAAGAGUUUUAUUUUUGAAUUUGUAGCUGUCGUUCACUUUUUACCCACCCAUUCAAUAAACCUUACAGAAUUGCUCCAU
rnacentral:lncRNA from 1 species